rnacentral:rRNA from 1 species
AGAGUUUGAUCCUGGCUCAGAUUGAACGCUGGCGGCAGGCCUAACACAUGCAAGUCGAACGGUAACAGGAAGCAGCUUGCUGCUUCGCUGACGAGUGGCGGACGGGUGAGUAAUGUCUGGGAAACUGCCUGAUGGAGGGGGAUAACUACUGGAAACGGUAGCUAAUACCGCAUAACGUCGCAAGACCAAAGAGGGGGACCUUCGGGCCUCUUGCCAUCGGAUGUGCCCAGAUGGGAUUAGCUAGUAGGUGGGGUAACGGCUCACCUAGGCGACGAUCCCUAGCUGGUCUGAGAGGAUGACCAGCCACACUGGAACUGAGACACGGUCCAGACUCCUACGGGAGGCAGCAGUGGGGAAUAUUGCACAAUGGGCGCAAGCCUGAUGCAGCCAUGCCGCGUGUAUGAAGAAGGCCUUCGGGUUGUAAAGUACUUUCAGCGGGGAGGAAGGUGUUGAGGUUAAUAACCUCAGCAAUUGACGUUACCCGCAGAAGAAGCACCGGCUAACUCCGUGCCAGCAGCCGCGGUAAUACGGAGGGUGCAAGCGUUAAUCGGAAUUACUGGGCGUAAAGCGCACGCAGGCGGUCUGUCAAGUCGGAUGUGAAAUCCCCGGGCUCAACCUGGGAACUGCAUUCGAAACUGGCAGGCUAGAGUCUUGUAGAGGGGGGUAGAAUUCCAGGUGUAGCGGGGAAAUGCGUAGAGAUCUGGAGGAAUACCGGUGGCGAAGGCGGCCCCCUGGACAAGACUGACGCUCAGUGCGAAAGCGUGGGGAGCAAACAGAUUAGAUACCCUGGUAGUCCACGCCGUAAACGAUGUCGACUUGGAGGUUGUGCCCUUGAGGCGUGGCUUCCGGAGCUAACGCGUUAAGUCGACCGCCUGGGGAGUACGGCCGCAAGGUUAAAACUCAAAUGAAUUGACGGGGGCCCGCACAAGCGGUGGAGCAUGUGGUUUAAUUCGAUGCAACGCGAAGAACCUUACCUACUCUUGACAUCCAGAGAACUUUCCAGAGAUGGAUUGGUGCCUUCGGGAACUCUGAGACAGGUGCUGCAUGGCUGUCGUCAGCUCGUGUUGUGAAAUGUUGGGUUAAGUCCCGCAACGAGCGCAACCCUUAUCCUUUGUUGCCAGCGGUUCGGCCGGGAACUCAAAGGAGACUGCCAGUGAUAAACUGGAGGAAGGUGGGGAUGACGUCAAGUCAUCAUGGCCCUUACGAGUAGGGCUACACACGUGCUACAAUGGCGCAUACAAAGAGAAGCGACCUCGCGAGAGCAAGCGGACCUCAUAAAGUGCGUCGUAGUCCGGAUUGGAGUCUGCAACUCGACUCCAUGAAGUCGGAAUCGCUAGUAAUCGUGGAUCAGAAUGCCACGGUGAAUACGUUCCCGGGCCUUGUACACACCGCCCGUCACACCAUGGGAGUGGGUUGCAAAAGAAGUAGGUAGCUUAACCUUCGGGAGGGCGCUUACCACUUUGUGAUUCAUGACUGGGGUGAAGUGGUAACAAGGUAGCCGUA